AGUGAACGCUGGCGGUAUGCCUAACACAUGCAAGUCGAACGGCAGCACAGUAAGAGCUUGCUCUUACGGGUGGCGAGUGGCGGACGGGUGAGGAAUACAUCGGAAUCUACUUUUUCGGGGGGGAUAACGGAGGGAAACUUACGCUAAUACCGCAUACGUCCUACGGGUGAAAGCAGGGGAUCUUCGGACUUUUCGCGUCUGUAUGAGACGAUGUCGGAUUAGCUAGUUGGCGAGGUAAAGGCCCACCAAGGCGACGAUCCGUAGCUGAUCUGAGAGGAUGAUCAGCCACACUGGAACUGAGACACGGUCCAGACUCCUACGGGAGGCAGCAGUGGGGAAUAUUGGACAAUGGGCGCAAGCCUGAUCCAGCCAUACCGCGUGGGUGAAGAAGGCCUUCGGGUUGUAAAGCCCUUUUGUUGGGAAGGAAAAGCAGCAGGUUAAUACCCCGCUGUUCUGACGGUACCCAAAGAAUAAGCACCGGCUAACUUCGUG
rnacentral:rRNA from 1 species